UACGUAGGGGGCAAGCGUUGUCCGGAUUUAUUGGGCGUAAAGAGCGUGUAGGCGGCCAGGUAGGUCCGUUGUGAAAACUCGAGGCUCAACCUCGAGACGCCGAUGGAAACCAUCUGGCUAGAGUCCGGAAGAGGAGAGUGGAAUUCCCGGUGUAGCGGUGAAAUGCGCAGAUAUCAGGAGGAACACCCGGUGGCGAAGGCGGGUCUCUGGGCCGGAACUGACGCUGAGGAGCGAAAGCGUGGG
rnacentral:rRNA from 1 species